rnacentral:rRNA from 1 species
GUGUCAGCAGCCGCGGUAAUACGGAGGGUGCAAGCGUUAAUCGGAAUUAUUGGGCGUAAAGGGUGCGUAGGUGGUUUGAUAAGUUAGCUGUGAAAGCCCUGGGCUUAACCUGGGAAGGUCAGCUAAGACUGUUAGACUUGAGUCUAGGAGAGGGUAGUGGAAUUUCCGGUGUAGCGGUGAAAUGCGUAGAGAUCGGAAGGAACACCAGUGGCGAAGGCGGCUACCUGGCCUAAGACUGACACUGAGGCACGAAAGCGUGGGGAGCAAACAGGAUUAGAAACCCUGGUAGUCC